UACGGAGGGUGCAAGCGUUAUCCGGAUUUACUGGGGUUAAAGGGUGUGUAGGCGGAUUUUUAAGUCAGAGGUGAAAUCUCCAGGCUCAACCUGGAAACUGCCCCUGAUACUAUUAGUCUUGAAUAUUGAUGAGGUGGGCGGAACGGGUCAUGUAGCGGUGAAAUGCUUAGAGAUGUGGAGGAACACCGAUGGCGAAGGCAGCCCCCUGGGUCAAGAUUGACGCUCAUGCACGAAAGCGUGGGGAGCAAACAGG
rnacentral:rRNA from 1 species